rnacentral:rRNA from 1 species
GACGAACGCUGGCGGCGUGCUUAACACAUGCAAGUCGUACGGUAAGGCCCUUUCGGGGGUCCACGAGUGGCGCACGGGUGAGUAACACGUGAGUAACCUGCCCACAACUUUGGGAUAACGCUAGGAAACUGGUGCUAAUACUGGAUAUGUGCUCCUGCUGCAUGGUGGGGGUUGGAAAGCUCCGGCGGUUGUGGAUGGACUCGCGGCCUAUCAGCUUGUUGGUGGGGUAGUGGCCUACCAAGGCGGCGACGGGUAGCCGGCCUGAGAGGGUGACCGGCCACAUUGGGACUGAGAUACGGCCCAGACUCCUACGGGAGGCAGCAGUGGGGAAUAUUGCACAAGGGGCGCAAGCCGGAUGCAGCAACGCCGCGGGCGGGAUGACGGCCUUCGGGUUGUAAACCGCUUUCAGCAGGGACGAAGCUUUUUGUGACGGUACCUGCAGAAGAAGCACCGGCUAACUACGUG